rnacentral:rRNA from 1 species
GUUGUAUGGUUAAGUGACUAAGCGUACACGGUGGAUGCCUUGGCAGUUGGAGGCGAUGAAGGACGUACUAACUUGCGAUAAGCUAAGUCAAGCCAGUAAGAGGCACUUGAGACUUAGAUUUCCGAAUGGGAAACCCACCGCUUAGCGGUAUCUUACAGUGAAUACAUAGCUGUAAGAGGCAAACCGGGAGAACUGAAACAUCUAAGUACCCGAGGAAAAGAAAUCAACCGAGAUUCCGAAAGUAGCGGCGAGCGAAAUCGGAUUAGCCCUUAAGCUUCAGUGUAAUUAGUGGAACCUUCUGGAAAGUUGGACGACACAGGGUGACAGUCCCGUACACGAAAAUUUAUCUGAAGUGAAAUCGAGUAGGUCGGAGCACGUGAAACUUUGACUGAAUAUGGGGGG